rnacentral:piRNA from 1 species
UUCUCGGGAUUAUGAGAAUCAAAGAUGGGU